UUUGAAAACCCCAACCAAAAAAAAAACUAAUUAAUUACUCAGAAGACUACGUGCAGUUCCUGCGACCACGUCUUACUUAGUAGUAUUAAUCUCCAUGUAAUCACAUUUCUCAUCUACCAACAAUAAAUAAUAAUCAAUCCCCAUUCAAAUAUUAAUCAUAUUAAAAAAGCUGCUCAUUUCCGCCGCCCUUCACUCCGCCUCUCUCGGCCGCCGAACCACAAUCCCACGCUACAAACAAACAAAGGAGAAACUUCACAAGCUCCACGAUAUUAGAGUAAAUACAAUAUUGAACGACAAAAAAUCGAAGCAUUACACGGUCUGAACUCUGAACUUCCAACCUCGGUUACGAGCUCCAAUGCUGUAGCGUUCGUGCUUUGAGCUCAUAAUUUCACCUGCGUUACGAAAAGGCGAUUGUGCGCUUUUUUUGAGUUACCGAGAAUUAACUCGGUUGUUUAGGUUUGGAAGUUUUUUAAGAUUUCACAAAGGCAAAAGAAGCAAAAAAGGAACCUUCGUGACGACGGGCUUACAGGUGUAAAGGGAGUUUGAGGAUGCGAAUCAGCCACGUAUACGUGAUGAAACUGAAUCAGGAGUCAGUGGCAUUGCAGAUAACAAGUGGUCCCUAGGAUUUCCAAAACAAAGAAUAAACCAACGGA